CUUUUCAGAGAUGAGAAUGUGCCUUCGGGAACCGUGAGACAGGUGCUGCAUGGCUGUCGUCAGCUCGUGUUGUGAAAUGUUGGGUUAAGUCCCGCAACGAGCGCAACCCUUAUCCUUUGUUGCCAGCGGUCCGGCCGGGAACUCAAAGGAGACUGCCAGUGAUAAACUGGAGGAAGGUGGGGAUGACGUCAAGUCAUCAUGGCCCUUACGACCAGGGCUACACACGUGCUACAAUGGCGCAUACAAAGAGAAGCGACCUCGCGAGAGCAAGCGGACCUCAUAAAGUGCGUCGUAGUCCGGAUUGGAGUCUGCAACUCGACUCCAUGAAGUCGGAAUCGCUAGUAAUCGUGGAUCAGAAUGCCACGGUGAAUACGUUCCCGGGCCUUGUACACACC
rnacentral:rRNA from 1 species